rnacentral:rRNA from 1 species
UGGCGGACGGGUGAGUAACGCGUGGGUAACCUGCCUUACACAGGGGGAUAACACCUGGAAACAGGUGCUAAUACCGCAUAAGCGCACAGGGCCGCAUGGCCCGGUGUGAAAAACUCCGGUGGUGUAAGAUGGACCCGCGUCUGAUUAGCUUGUUGGCGGGGUAGGGCCCACCAAGGCGACGAUCAGUAGCCGGCCUGAGAGGGUGGACGGCCACAUUGGGACUGAGACACGGCCCAGACUCCUACGGGAGGCAGCAG